UACAGAGGUGGCAAGCGUUGUUCGGAAUUACUGGGCGUAAAGGGCUCGUAGGCGGCCAACUAAGUCAGACGUGAAAUCCCUCGGCUUAACCGGGGAACUGCGUCUGAUACUGGUUGGCUUGAAUCCGGGAGAGGGAUGUGGAAUUCCAGGUGUAGCGGUGAAAUGCGUAGAUAUCUGGAGGAACACCGGUGGCGAAGGCGGCAUCCUGGACCGGUAUUGACGCUGAGGAGCGAAAGCCAGGGGAGCAAACGGG
rnacentral:rRNA from 1 species